UACGGAGGGGGCAAGCGUUGUCCGGAAUUACUGGGCGUAAAGGGCGCGUAGGCGGAACAUUAAGUUAGGGGCGAAAGGCCUGGGCUCAACCUGGGAACGGCCUCUAAGUCUGAUGAUCUUGACUUCGGAAGAGGAUGGCGGAAUUCCCAGUGUAGAGUUGAAAUUCGUAGAUAUUGGGAAGAACACCGGUGGCGAAGGCGGCCAUCUGGUCCGGAACUGACGCUGAGUCGCGAAAGCGUGGGGAGCAAACAGG
rnacentral:misc_RNA from 1 species